UGCCACUGGAUUUUCUUGGGAUUGUGU
rnacentral:piRNA from 1 species